CAGCGCCUCCCCGCCCUCCCAGAGCGCCAGGGGCGGGGGGAGCGACGCAGGCGUCGCCGUCACGUGCUGCGGGCCGCGCGGGCGGCCGGGGGCGGGGCCUGUUGCUAUGACUGCGGCGGCGGCUGUUGUUGUUUGGGACUGCAAUUAGAAAGUGCUGAGGCGGCAGUGGAGACAGAACCGAUUGUGGAACGGCGUCUCCCGCCCCCGGGCCAGAGAGGGUUCCCCCGCCCCUGGAAAGCCAGGACACCCCCUAGGCUGUCCCAGCACGCCUCAGCCUCGGGUCCUGAGCCAAGACCGCUCUGUGCUGCCCGGGACUCCCAGACUGAGGGCCAAGCCUAGACCACUCCCUCCGCCCUCGGUCGGCCACGACUGUCAGGGUGACCUCCCUAACCGCGUCUGCUCCAGACGGCAGCCCACAGAGCAAACCGCUGACCAAACUUGCCUUGCCCGCGAGACGGGCGCAAAACCCAGCUCGGAGACCUUUCCCACUGUCGCAGGAAACCCCAGAACCCAGGAGGAGCAGAAAGGAGUUGGCGCGUAGUGGAAGACUUGAGAGAGCCGUGCCUGGGAACUGCGUUUAAGUACAGUCCUGUCAGAGGAAAACCGAGACAGCCCUGGGAAGUGUGGCACUGAGAAACGGGAGGGCCGGGGAAGCUGGGCCGCAGCUGUCGCUGGGCUGUGCUGGGGCCCGUCUUGGCACUGCAAGCCCUCGCAGCGUGAGAAGUCUCCGCGUGCGCCAGCCGUGCCUUCACACGACUCUGGACACCGAAUCAAGGAACCGAGGCGGGACCCUGUGGAGACGGCCGCCCUGGGCAGCGUGUGGAGUUCCAGGGUCACAGUCUGAAUUUAAGCCUUGUGUAUUAAUCUGCUGGAAUUUUAAAAAAUGGGAAAGCGCCGAUGCGACUUACCCCGGGCGCAGAAGUAACCCAUCUUGCCACCUGGAAAAGUGGCCUGGCAGUCCUCCUUAUCUCUCCUAUUUCAACUCAGGGAAAACUCUGUAAAGACAUUCUUCGCUCCUGGGCAAUACAAAAACAAGAGGCUGCAUGGUGGAUUUGACCUGCCUGGCUAGAGACUAUCUAUGGACCCCAGGUUUGGAGAGAAGUAGAAACUGGGGCAGGCAUUUUGGUACAGCAGUUAAGACACCACUUGGGAUGCCCCUGGGUUCAAGGCCUGGCCCUGCUUCAGAUUCCAAGAUCCUGCUAAUGCGUACCCUGGGAGGCAGUGGCAAUAGCUCAAGAACCCGGGUUCCUGCCAACUUGUGGGAGACCCACAUCAAGUUCUGGUCUCCUAGCUUCAGCCUGGUUCAGCCCUGGCUGGCUGUUGAGGGCAGUUAGGGAGUGAACCAGCAGAUAGAAGACCUCUCUGUAUCUGCCUCUGCCUCUCUGUAACUCUACCUUCCAAAAAAAAAACAAAAAUAAAAAACAAUUUUGGGGCCAGUGUUGUGGCAUAGUGGGUAAAGUCGCUGCCUACAGUGCCAGCCUCCCAUAUGGGCACUGGUUCGAGUCCUGACUGCUCCACUUCCAUUCCAGCUCUAUGCUAUGGCCUGGG